rnacentral:rRNA from 1 species
UACGUAGGGUGCAAGCGUUAAUCGGAAUUACUGGGCGUAAAGCGUGCGCAGGCGGUUUUGUAAGUCUGUCGUGAAAUCCCCGGGCUCAACCUGGGAAUUGCGAUGGAGACUGCAAGGCUAGAAUCUGGCAGAGGGGGGUAGAAUUCCACGUAUAGCAGUGAAAUGCGUAGAGAUGUGGAGGAACACCGAUGGCGAAGGCAGCCCCCUGGGUCAAGAUUGACGCUCAUGCACGAAAGCGUGGGGAGCAAACAGG